rnacentral:rRNA from 1 species
AUUGAACGCUGGCGGCAGGCCUAACACAUGCAAGUCGAACGGUAACAGGAAGAAGCUUGCUUCUUUGCUGACGAGUGGCGGACGGGUGAGUAAUGUCUGGGAAACUGCCUGAUGGAGGGGGAUAACUACUGGAAACGGUAGCUAAUACCGCAUAACGUCGCAAGACCAAAAAGGGGGACCUUCGGGCCUCUUGCCAUCGGAUGUGCCCAGAUGGGAUUAGCUAGUAGGUGGGGUAACGGCUCACCUAGGCGACGAUCCCUAGCUGGUCUGAGAGGAUGACCAGCCACACUGGAACUGAGACACGGUCCAGAUUCCUACGGGAGGCAGCAGUGGGGAAUAUUGCACAAUGGGCGCAAGCCUGAUGCAGCCAUGCCGCGUGUAUGAAGAAGGCCUUCGGGUUGUAAAGUACUUUCAGCGGGGAGGAAGGGAGUAAAGUUAAUACCUUGGCUCAUUGACGUUACCCGCAGAAGAAGCACCGGCUAACUCCGUG